GACGAACGCUGGCGGCGUGCUUAACACAUGCAAGUCGAACGGAAAGGCCCUGCUUGCAGGGUACUCGAGUGGCGAACGGGUGAGUAACACGUGGGUGAUCUGCCCUGCACUUCGGGAUAAGCCUGGGAAACUGGGUCUAAUACCGGAUAGGAGCCAUUUUUAGUGUGAUGGUUGGAAAGUUUUUUCGGUGUAGGAUGAGCUCGCGGCCUAUCAGCUUGUUGGUGGGGUAAUGGCCUACCAAGGCGGCGACGGGUAGCCGGCCUGAGAGGGUGGACGGCCACAUUGGGACUGAGAUACGGCCCAGACUCCUACGGGAGGCAGCAGUGGGGAAUAUUGCACAAUGGGCGGAAGCCUGAUGCAGCGACGCCGCGUGGGGGAUGACGGCCUUCGGGUUGUAAACUCCUUUCGCUAGGGACGAAGCUUUUGUGACGGUACCUAGAUAAGAAGCACCGGCUAACUACGUG
rnacentral:rRNA from 1 species